AGUUCUUAUUUUUUUAGAACGCUGUGAUUGGCUCAAAUCAGUAAAGCAGCAAUCACAUUGCUUAUUUUAACCUUAGUUCAGACUGAUAUCAGCCAAAUAUCAACUUAUCUUACCUCAGAUUUCUUCGUAGCAUGACCUGUAAAAUAACCCAGUCCAGGAACAGCAGAGUGAUGUUCAUAAAUCACAUGUGAGGUUCAAAAUAGGCAUCCUCGUCUUAAAUUUAACAUAACUAUUCAUAUGCAUAAUCUAAUGUUUUGUGAGUUUGUGAUUUUCCAUCUAUUUCUGUUGUCUUAUUGUACUUUAUUAUACAUGAUCUUUGUAGGAAACAGUGCAUUCAUUCAGAGUUGUUUGACUUCCUGAAGGAUUUGGCAGAUCAGGAUCAGCAUCAGCAUCAGAGUGCAAAACUAAGGGCAAAAUGGCAGUCACACAGGAAACAGUGGCAAAGCGUGUCUAUCAAAGCCAGGUCAUUGGAGAUGGAGGAGCUGUCCCAGAAAGCCCCAAUGAUCUAGUCAGUGAUUCACCCAGUGAGUCUGAGCUGUUCAUCUGCUUGGAAACUCAUUCACCUUCACCUGGCUUUUGAAAAGUUUUACAACAGCGAACAAUGUUUUGCUGAAAACUGCAGUGUUAUUUAUGAAGACCCAGCAUCUUUUGGGAGGUGGGUGUCAUUGUUAU